rnacentral:rRNA from 3 species
GGACUACAAGGGUAUCUAAUCCCGUUCACUCCCCUAGCUUUCGUGCCUCAGCGUCAGAAAAGGCCCAGUGUGCCGCUUUCGCUGCUGGCGUUCCUUCCGAUCUCUACACAUUUCACCGCUCCACCGGAAGUUCCACACACCCCUACCUCACUCAAGUCAACUAGUUUCACGCGCAGUUUUCUGGUUGAGCCAGAAGAUUUCACACGUGACUUAGAUGACCGCCUACGCACCCUUUAAGCCCAGUGAUUCCGAAUAACGUUCGCACAGUUCGUAUUACCGCGGCGGCUGGCAC